rnacentral:rRNA from 1 species
UACGGAGGGGGCUAGCGUUGUUCGGAAUUACUGGGCGUAAAGCGCACGUAGGCGGAUUGCUAAGUCAGGGGUGAAAUCCUGGAGCUCAACUCCAGAACUGCCUUUGAUACUGGCGACCUUGAGUUCGGGAGAGGUGAGUGGAAUUCCUGGUGUAGCGGUGGAAUGCGCAGAUAUCAGGAGGAACACCAAUAGCGAAGGCAGCUCGCUGGGACGGUACUGACGCUAAGGCGCGAAAGCGUGGGGAGCGAACAGG